rnacentral:rRNA from 1 species
GACGUAGGGUGCGAACGUUAUUCGGAGUGAUUGGGCGUAAAGGGUGCGCAGGCGGUAUAUUAAGUCAAUUGUUAAAUUUCUUAGCCUAACUAAGAGCUCACAAUAGAAACUAAUGUACUAGAGGAUGGAAGAGAGAAGUGGAAUUCUCGGAGUAGCGGUAAAAUGCGUAGAUCUCGAGAGGAACAUCGAUGGCGAAGGCAGCUUCUUGGUCCAUUUCUGACGCUCAUGCACGAAAGCGUGGGGAGCAAACAGG